CCUCCCCGCGGUUUGUUCUCCGAGGUUUCUCAAGAUGGCGGACGCGGGUCAAUUCGCGGAAAACGGCGGCUCCGGGGCGGCCGCCGAUGGUUUCGACGGCGCCUUCUACAGCUUCAGCGGCCAGGGGGCGGGCGAGGCCUCGUUCGGUGGCGGAGGCGCCGAGGUGAAAAGUGCGGCGGCCGGAGGAGGAGGCGGCGGCGGCGAGGCCGGCGGCCAGGCCUCGGGUCGCCUGGGGGACGGGAGCCGGGAUCAGCAGCAGGCGGCGAGCACGGCUCCUCCACCACCGCCUCCCCCGGUGAAGGAAGUGGAAGGCUCAAAGAUUAACGCCAGCAAGAAUGAGGAGGACGAAGGGAAGAUGUUUGUUGGUGGACUCAGCUGGGAAACAAGCAAGAAAGAUUUAAGGGACUACUUUUCUAAAUAUGGAGAGAUUGUAGACUGCGUAAUCAAAAUGGAUCCUGUGACUGGGCGCUCGCGAGGAUUUGGGUUUAUCCUCUUCAAGGAUCCUGAAAGUGUAGACAAGGUGCUGAAUAAGGAACACAAACUUGAUGGGAGAGUUAUUGAUCCCAAGAAAGCCCAGGCUAUGAAGGGUAAGGAACAAAUUAAGAAGAUCUUUGUUGGUGGUUUGGACCCUGAUUGCCCGGAAGAAAAAGUGAGAGAAUAUUUUGGAACCUUUGGAGAGAUUGAAUCUAUUGAACUCCCUAUGGACACAAAGACCAACAAGAGAAGAGGAUUCUGUUUUAUCACAUUCAAAGAGGAUAAUCCAGUGAAGACAAUAAUGGAAAAGAAAUUCCAUGAUGUUGGAACAAGCAAGGUUGAAAUCAAAUUGGCCCAACCUAAAGAAGUGUACCAACAGCAGCAAUGGGGAGGCCGAGGUGGUUUCACUGGAAGAGGAAGAGGUAGAGGAGGACAAAGCCAGACGUGGAGUCAAAGCUACAACAGUAACUAUUGGAACCCAAGUUAUGGAAAUUAUAACUAUGGCUAUAACCAGAAUUAUGGUGGAUAUAGUGGCUAUGACUACCCAGCAUACAACUAUGGCUAUUAUGGUUAUGGACAGGGAUAUGGUGAUUAUAACAGUCAACCAGGCACCUAUGGUAAAGCUCCUAGGAGAGGAGGAGGAGGAAGUGGCCAAACUCAGUAUAGGCCUUACUAGAUGACUUGGCCUUUCCGAAGCUCUCCAUGAACAAGUGGGAGCUUCAUUGCAGGCCAUGUCACCAUGACCACACGAUUCGCACAAGCCUGCACAUUGUGGACAGAAUUCGAGAUGCCCUGUGGUGGCAGCAACUAUUAUAACAAGAGGGAAUGGACAUCUUUUGAAAUCCUUUAAGAAGUGAAGAAACCUGUCACAAAUUUUGUUUUGCAUUAUGGGCAGUGUUGGAUCUGGUGGACUUUUUUGCGUUUCCUCUGUAAUUUUUAAAUGCAAGUAAUAUUUGAUGACUGUGACAUUUUUUUGUAAAGGAGAAAAAGUUGUUGUGUGAAGUUUUUAAACUAAUAUAAUGUACCACCAUUUAGUUUUACUGCUGGUGAGCACAUCGUGGAUCAGUGUGGCAGAUGUAAGGGGAAAAUGUUUUUUUUUGGUGUAUGAGCUCUGUGAAAUAUUUCCAUUUGUAACUCCUCCUGCGUGAUUAAAUAAAAACCUUUGUACGUGUU